rnacentral:rRNA from 1 species
CGGCGGCUUACACAUGCAAGUCGAGGGGUAACGGGUCACUUCGGUGAUGCCGACGACCGGCGCACGGGUGAGUAACGCGUAUGGAACCUACCUGCAACAGGGGGAUAGCUUCCGGAAACGGGGAUUAAUCCCCCAUAGAGUUUAUAGAUGGCAUCAUAUAUAAACUAAAGCUUAGGCGGUUGUAGAUGGACAUGCGUACCAUUAGUUAGUUGGUGAGGUAAGGGCUCACCAAGGCAGCGAUGGUUAGGGGUCCUGAGAGGGCAGUCCCCCACACUGGUACUGAGACACGGACCAGACUCCUACGGGAGGCAGCAGUGAGGAAUAUNGGUCAAUGGGCGAUAGCCUAAACCAGCCAUGCCGCGUGCAGGAGGACGGCCCUACGGGUUGUAAACUGCUUUUCUGUGGGAAGCAUUCCCUGAUUUAGCAUCAGGGUUGACGGUACUACAGGAAUAAGCAUCGGCUAACUCCGUGCCAGCAGCCGCGGUAAUACGGAGGAUGCGAGCGUUAUCCGGAUUCAUUGGGUUUAAAGGGUGCGCAGGCGGUGGAGCAAGUCAGUGGUGAAAGCCCGGAGCUUAACUUCGGGAUUGCCAUUGAAACUGUUUCACUUGAGUGUAGUUGAGGACGGCGGAAUGAGUUGCGUAGCGGUGAAAUGCAUAGAUAUAACUCAGAACACCAAUUGCGAAGGCAGCUGUCUAGAUUACAACUGACGCUGACGCACGAGAGCCGUGGGGAGCGAACAGGAUUAGAUACCCUGCUAGUCCACGGCUGUAAACGAUGAUCACUCGUUGUUGGCUACUUAGUAGUCAGUGACUAAGGGAAACCGUUAAGUGAUCCACC